rnacentral:rRNA from 1 species
CCCCAGCGCCACAAGUGGCAACCACUUUUAUUGGGUCUAAAGCAUCCGUAGCCGGUCUGUUAAAUUUCCUGUGAAAUCGUCAUGCCUAACGUGACGGCGGGCAGGGAAAACUGGCAGACUUGGGACCGGGAGAAGUCAAGAGUAUUCCGUGGGGAGCGGUAAAAUGUUAUAAUCCACGGAGGACUACCAAUGGCGAAGGCACUUGACUAGCACGGAUCCGACGGUGAGGGAUGAAAGCUAGGGGAGCGAUCCGGAUUAGAUACCCGAGUAGUCCUAGCUGUAAACGCUGCGAGCCAGAUGUUGCACAUUCCUCGUGGAUGUGCAGUGUCGUAAUGAAGAUGUUAAGCUCGCCACCUGGGGAGUACGGUCGCAAGGCUGAAACUUAAAGGAAUUGGCGGGGGAGCGCUACAACGGGUGCGGCGUGCGGUUUAAUCGAAUUCGACGCCGAGAAUCUCACCAGCGGCGACAGCAGGAUGAUGGUCAGUCUGAAGGGCUUACCAGACGCGCUGAGAGGUGGUGCAUGGCCGCCGUCAGCUCGUGCCGUGAGGUGUCCUCUUAAGUGAGGCAACGAGCGAGACCUGUGUCCUUACUUGCUAACAGGUUAGCAAUAACGACUGAGCACACUAAGGAGACUGCCUUGGAAACAAGGAGGAAGGUGCAGGCAACGGCAGGUCUGUAUGCCCCGAAUCUGCUGGGCUACACGCGCGCAACAAUGAUAAGGACAAUGGGCUGCAACUCCGAAAGGAGAAGCUAAACCUCUAAACCUUACCCAAGUUCAGAUUGAGGAUCGCAACUCAUCCUCAUGACGUCGGAAUCCGUAGUAAUCGGAGUUUAUCAUACUCCGGUGAAUAUGUCCCCGCUCCU